CGUCGGCCUCAGCAGUUACGGCUUCAAGAGCACCGUUGAGCAAGUCACCAAUAGCUGCCCCGAUCUCCGCUCCAUCACGGCCAUCAUCACAGGUGUGGAGGAUCGGAGCCGAGAUGGCGCAAGUGUUAGCCAAGCGCUGCGCCAAACUAGUCCUCCCUGCUCGGAGCCUCAAAGCCGCCGAAGACGCCAAGGCGCGAGUUCGCUCUGUUUGGCGAUCCGGAUCGCGAACUCCCCACGAUUGGGUUCGUCCGAUCCGGAACGCGGUUCGCCGGCAGUCACAGCGUUUCCGGUGACUUUGCUCUGAUCUAUCCCUUUCUCUCUACAGUCUCGGGCUCUCAGCUGUCCUCACUCCUCAGUGAGCAACAGUUAAGACCAAAACAAAAAAGGGUUGAUAUGUCGGUAGCUGAACAGCCAAACAGAGCUCUGAUUUAUAUAAAUAUGAGGACGCAUUUCAUCACUCUGAAUCUGAUCAUCAUCUGAUCACAUACGGUAUCUAUCUCACUGGUUAACUUGUGAAACUAGGCAUGAGAUACAUGCAGACUUGCAGAGACGUCGUUCGCAUUAAAUUGAU
rnacentral:lncRNA from 1 species